GAGUUGCAAUAGGGGCUUGGCGCCCCUGAUGUAUUAUAUUAUCAGCUGAACCUUUUCUUUUCUAUGUUUCCAAUCGUAGAUUGAGAUUUUUACAUGUUGAUGUAAAAAUAUAAAAGAAAAAUUAUUUGAGAACAGAUAAAAAUUAUUUUUUCUAUUUUCAAAUAAAGAUCAAACAUUCAUGAUAGACUUCAUGGUGACGA
rnacentral:lncRNA from 1 species